AUACGUAUGGUGCAAGCGUUAUCCGGAUUUACUGGGUGUAAAGGGAGUGUAGGUGGUCUGACAAGUCAGAGGUGAAAGCCCGGGGCUCAACCCUGGGACUGCCUUUGAAACUGUCAGACUAGAGUGCAGGAGAGGUAAGUGGAAUUCCUAGUGUAGCGGUGAAAUGCGCAGAUAUUAGGAGGAACACCAGUGGCGAAGGCGGCUUACUGGACUGUAACUGACACUGAGGCUCGAAAGCGUGGGGAGC
rnacentral:rRNA from 1 species